AUUAGUAAGUUUUGAGACCAACUCUUAUCAACUCUUAUUGGUACGUGUAGCCAUAUGAUAGGUUUUAUUUUUGAUAUAAAAAACAAUUUUUUUCUUUUUUUCUCUUCUUUCUCUUUCUUCUCCACAUCUCUUUUGCGGCACCGUUCCUACCUUCACUCCCCAAAUUCUCAUAUUUGCGAUUAACCAAUCUCCGUUCUUUGCUCUUUUUGAUUAAACAAUCUUCAGUCUGAGGUGAUGAUUAAGCAAUCAAAACAACACAUCAGAGGUUCUGAUCUAUCGACGAGUUUGGAUAUGGAACUCACGGAGAUUUGCUGUGGGGAAGGAAGCUGAAGAUGGGUUUCUCUCGGUACAGUCAAAUCUUAACCUCUGUUUCGUUUUUGUAUUGCAAUUUCCCCCUUUGUCCGUUGUAUGAAGUGAUUUGGUGUGAACUACUUGCUAAUUUGAAAUCAAAGGGAUAUAUAUAGUUUCCAAUGUUUGUUCGUUUGCUAAAAAAUUUGAUAAAAGAUUGGAACUUUUAUUUCUGUAGUUUCAAAGUUUCAACCUUCUUCACAUUCUUAUAAUCAGCUUGUUCAGAAUGCUGAUGAGUGCAUGGUCUCAACAAUGAGGCCUUGUACGAUAUCUGCUUCAGGACUCUCAAACUCACUACUCCCAGCUUUGGUGAUUUGAACCACUUGAUCUCUGCCACCAUGUCUGGUGUGACUUGCUGUCUGAGGUUCCCUGGUCAGCUGAACUCUGACCUCGUAAGCUUGCUGUGAAUCUCAUCCCAUUCCCUCGUCUUCACUUCUUCAUGGUGGGAUUUCCUCCUCUCACAUCAAGAGGUUCUCAGCAGUACUGUUCCCUCACAGUUCCUGAACUCACCCAGCAAAUGUGGGACUCCAAGAACAUGAUGUGUGCUGCAGACCCAAGACAUGGACACUACCUCACUGCCUCUGCUAUGUUCCGUGGCAAGAUGAGCACAAAGGAAUUUGAUGAGCAGAUGCUGAACAUGCAGAACAAGAACUCGUUCUACUUUGAAGUCAACCGUCUGUGACAUCCCCACCUACUGGUCUGAAGAUGGCUUCCACUUUCAUCGGCAACUCAACAUCAAUCCAAUAGAUGUUCAGCGUGUGAGUGAGCAGUUCACAGCUAUGUUCACAAGUUAAACUAAAUGUUCCACUUAAAUUAGUUAUAUUAAAAAAAAAAUCAAAAAUAAGAACUCCAAUAAGAGUUUACCAUUGGAGAAGUAUAAUUUUAAUUAACAAACACAAAGUUCUUAUUUUGUAAAAGUAUAUUUUUUACUCCUAAAAAAAUAUAAGAGCUUCAAAAUAGUGAUCUCCCAA